AGUGAACGCUGGCGGUAGGCCUAACACAUGCAAGUCGAACGGCAGCACAGUAAGAGCUUGCUCUUACGGGUGGCGAGUGGCGGACGGGUGAGGAAUACAUCGGAAUCUACUUUUUCGUGGGGGAUAACGUAGGGAAACUUACGCUAAUACCGCAUACGACCUACGGGUGAAAGCAGGGGAUCUUCUGACCUUGCGCGAUUGAAUGAGCCGAUGUCGGAUUAGCUAGUUGGCGGGGUAAAGGCCCACCAAGGCGACGAUCCGUAGCUGGUCUGAGAGGAUGAUCAGCCACACUGGAACUGAGACACGGUCCAGACUCCUACGGGAGGCAGCAGUGGGGAAUAUUGGACAAUGGGCGAAAGCCUGAUCCAGCCAUACCGCGUGGGUGAAGAAGGACUUCGGGUUGUAAAGCCCUUUUGUUGGGAAAGAAAAGCAGCAGGUUAAUACCCCGCUGUUCUGACGGUACCCAAAGAAUAAGCACCGGCUAACUUCGUG
rnacentral:rRNA from 1 species